rnacentral:rRNA from 1 species
UAUUGGACAAUGGGCGCAAGCCUGAUCCAGCCAUGCCGCGUGUGUGAAGAAGGCCUUAUGGUUGUAAAGCACUUUAAGCGAGGAGGAGGCUACUUUAGUUAAUACCUAGAGAUAGUGGACGUUACUCGCAGAAUAAGCACCGGCUAACUCUGUGCCAGCAGCCGCGGUAAUACAGAGGGUGCAAGCGUUAAUCGGAUUUACUGGGCGUCAAGCGCGCGUAGGCGGCUAAUUAAGUCAAAUGGGAAAUCCCCGAGCUUAACUUGGGAAUUGCAUUCGAUACUGGUUAGCUAGAGUGUGGGAGAGGAUGGUAGAAUUCCAGGUGUAGCGGUGAAAUGCGUAGAGAUCUGGAGGAAUACCGAUGGCGAAGGCAGCCAUCUGGCCUAACACUGACGCUGAGGUGCGAAAGCAUGGGGAGCAAACAGG